GAUGAACGCUAGCGAUAGGCCUAACACAUGCAAGUCGAGGGGCAUCACAUGAAGUAGCAAUACGGAUGGUGGCGACCGGCGCACGGGUGAGUAACACGUAUGCAACCUGCCUUCAACAAGGGGAUAACCCGUUGAAAGACGGACUAAUACCCUAUAACACAGGGGUCCCGCAUGGGAAUAUUUGUUAAAGGACAACCGGUUGAAGAUGGGCAUGCGUUCCAUUAGCUAGUUGGCGGGGUAAGGGCCCACCAAGGCAACGAUGGAUAGGGGAACUGAGAGGUUUAUCCCCCACACUGGUACUGAGACACGGACCAGACUCCUACGGGAGGCAGCAGUGAGGAAUAUUGGUCAAUGGACGCAAGUCUGAACCAGCCACGUCGCGUGAAGGAAGACGGCCCUACGGGUUGUAAACUUCUUUUAUACGGGAAUAAAGUGCCCCACGCGUGGGGUUUUGCAUGUACCGUAUGAAUAAGGAUCGGCUAACUCCGUG
rnacentral:rRNA from 1 species